UCAAGCUACAAAGAGCGUAUGGUGGAUGCCUUGGCAUUAGGCGCCGAUGAAGGACGUGACAAGCUGCGAUAAGCUGCGGUGAGUGGCAAAUACACUUUGACCCGCAGAUUUCCGAAUGAGGAAACUCACUAUGUUGAAGACAUAGUAUCUUUACACGAAUAAAAUAGUGUAUCGAGGGGAACCCGGAGAACUGAAACAUCUCAUUAUCCGGAGGAAAAGAAAGAAAAUAUUCGAUUUCCUGAGUAGUGGCGAGCGAAAGGGAAGGAGCCCAAACCGUUUGUAGAAAUAUAAACGGGGUUGAGAACUGCGUAACCGACCGAUUUUGAUAGUCGAAGCACUUGGAAAGGUGUGCCAUAGAGAGUGACAGCCUCGUAGGCGAAAUCAAAAUGGUCGCGGCAGAGUUCCAGAGUACCACAGGACACGUGGAAUCCGGUGGGAAUACAAGGAGGACCAUCUCCUAAGGCUAAAUACGACCUAAUGACCUAUAGAGUAUAGUACCGUGAGGGAAAGGUGAAAAGAACCCCGGGAGGGGAGUGAAAUAGAAUCUGAAACCAUAUGCUUACAAGCAGAGAUAGCACGACUUAACGUGUGGUCUCGUACUUUUUGUAGAACGGACCGGCGAGUUACGAUGCGUAGCAAGGUUAAGGUAUUAAGUACCGGAGCCGAAGCGAAAGCGAGUCUGAACAGGGCGUUCAGUUGCGCGUCGUAGACCCGAAACCGAGUGACCUAUCCAUGAACAGGUUGAAGCAGUGGUAAAACACUGUGGAGGACCGAACCCACGCCUGUUAAAAUAGUCGGGGAUGAUUUGUGGAUAGCGGAGAAAUUCCAAUCGAACUCGGAUAUAGCUGGUUCUCCUCGAAAUAGCUUUAGGGCUAGCCUCCGAAUUUAGAUUAUUGAAGGUAGAGCACUGUAUGGGCUAGGGGACUUCACGGUUUACCGAACCUUAACAAACUUCGAAUUUCAAUUAAUUAUGUCGGGGAGUCAGACUGCGUGAGAUAAGUUUCGUAGUCAAAAGGGAAACAGCCCAGACCUACAGCUAAGGUCCCCAAAUUCAGGUUAAGUGGAAAAGGAUGUAUCGUUGCUAAAACAACCAGGAUGUUGGCUUAGAAGCAGCCACUCAUUCAAAGAGUGCGUAAUAGCUCACUGGUCGAGUGAAUGUGCGCCGAAAAUAUACCGGGGCUAAACGUGAUACCGAAGUCUGGGGAUCAAGAAAUUGAUCGGUAGGGGAGCAACGCAUACGGACAGAAGCAGAAGCGGGAGCGACUGUGGACUGUAUGGGAGAGAGAAUGCCGGCAUGAGUAGCGAGAGCAAAGUGAGAAUCUUUGCCGUCGAAAGCCUAAGGUUUCCUGAGGAAGGCUCGUCCUCUCAGGGUAAGUCGGGACCUAAGCCGAGGACAAUAGUCGUAGGCGAUGGACAAUCGGUUAAUAUUCCGAUACCGCCGAGCAACCGGAUGCAGUGACACAGAAGGAUAGGCAGAGCGUGGCGAUGGUAGACCACGUCCAAGCAGUGAGGCUGUUGUGUAGUGAAGUACGCACAACGUAAGGCUGGGCUGUGAUGGGGAACGAUUACGAUCGGUAAGCUGCUGAAUUCACGCUGGCGAGAAAAGCUGCUACGAAGCGAAGGCGCCCGUACCGCAAACCGACACAGGUAGGCGAGGAGAGAAUCCUAAGACGAGCGGGAGAACCCUUGUUAAGGAACUCGGCAAAAUGACUCCGUAACUUAGGGAGAAGGAGUGCCCAGGAAUGGGCCGCAGAGAAUAGACCCAAGCGACUGUUUACCAAAAACACAGGUCUGUGCGAAGUAGAGAUACGACGUAUACGGGCUGACACCUGCCCAGUGCCGGAAGGUUAAGGGGAAAUGUUAGGGCAACCGAAGCAUGGAACUUAAGCCCCGGUGAACGGCGGCCGUAACUAUAACGGUCCUAAGGUAGCGAAAUUCCUUGUCGGGUAAG
rnacentral:rRNA from 1 species